rnacentral:rRNA from 1 species
GCCUGAUGCAGCGACGCCGCGUGAGGGAUGACGGCCUUCGGGUUGUAAACCUCUUUCAAUAGGGACGAAGCGCAAGUGACGGUACCUAUAGAAGAAGGACCGGCCAACUACGUGCCAGCAGCCGCGGUAAUACGUAGGGUCCGAGCGUUGUCCGGAAUUACUGGGCGUAAAGAGCUCGUAGGUGGUUUGUCGCGUUGUUCGUGAAAACUCACAGCUUAACUGUGGGCGUGCGGGCGAUACGGGCAGACUAGAGUACUGCAGGGGAGACUGGAAUUCCUGGUGUAGCGGUGGAAUGCGCAGAUAUCAGGAGGAACACCGGUGGCGAAGGCGGGUCUCUGGGCAGUAACUGACGCUGAGGAGCGAAAGCGUGGGGAGCGAACAGGAUUAGAUACCCUGGUAGUCCACGCCGUAAACGGUGGGUACUAGGUGUGGGUUUCCUUCCUUGGGAUCCGUGCCGUAGCUAACGCAUUAAGUACCCCGCCUGGGGAGUACGGCCGCAAGGCUAAAACUCAAAGAAAUUGACGGGGGCCCGCACAAGCGGCGGAGCAUGUGGAUUAAUUCGAUGCAACGCGAAGAACCUUACCUGGGUUUGACAUGCACAGGACGCCGGCAGAGAUGUCGGUUCCCUUGUGGCCUG